ensembl:lncRNA
UUUUGUUUGUUUUAUUGGGUGUUUUUUGCAUAUAACAUUGCUUCAAUGCUAAAGCAUUGCAGAAGCAUUUCAAAAGCAUUCUUUCAUGUUGUAACUUGCUCAACUUCCUCUUAUUGAUUCAAGAACUCCUUUGCACUGGAAGGGGUUCCAUUUCUAUGGGUUGUAUGCUCUAGAAUAACAGUUUAGAUAUAAUAGUUGCAGAGAACAUGCUUAGGGGAAUUUCCAUUGUUUGUGAAAAUCUCACUCAUCUGAUUGGAUGUGUUACUGGGUAAACAAAUAAUGUUCUGAAUAAUUGGUGCACCUUCACUUAAAGUCGAAAGGAUUUUGUACUUAUCAGUGGCGAUAUUCACAGUCUUUCAACCUAAAAGAAUGAGCACAGAGAUGAGUUUUGGAUGUUGAUUAAUAUAUUCAGACGAACCUAUUUUCCAUUGCUUGUCCACUUUUUAUGAAAUCCGAAGGUACAAAAAGCAUACCCACAUUGCACUUGGUUUUACAAAAUGUCAAACAUUAUUUUUAAUACGAUGCCUGCUAAACCAGGUGCCUUAACCGCAACAAACAACAGAAAAUCCAAACUUGAUCUACACCCUUCAAAGUCUUGAUAUUUUGUAUGGAUACAAGAUCUCCUAUCUUUCAUUCUGCCCACUAUGCCAAGAAUUCUGACAUUUACUCUGUGAUAUUUUAACAGUAUAGACUAGGGAUCUCAUUUACGGAUGAAAAAAACCGUUGCUGCUUUGCCUCAGACAGUUUUCGCAUAAGUUGAAUGUAGUCUUCCUUCAAAGGAUUCAAUUCAAUAUAAGGAUAUGUUCAUACUCCAAGAUGUUCAGUGUAACUGGAUGAGAGAGACUAUCCAAAGUGUGCUGCAAUCGUGAUUCAAAGGAAUUUAAAAUUUUUGUAUGAUGUCCUUAUUUCUAUAUACCUUUUUAUGAUUUAUUUUGUAUUUAUGCUCUAAAUCGGUAAAUUGUUGCACAAAUUUCUGUUAAUCUUUUUUUUUAUUUUAUUGUUUUGCCUUUUAUAUUUAGUCCUCCACUACUUGCCAUACCAUUUAUUUUAUUCUAUUUAAUUAGAAAUUUCCUCUAGUUCAUCUACAGAAAUGUUUCUAGAUAUUCAUGAAACCAUCGCAAAGUGAUUCUGUGUUGUUGCUGAAAUACAUAUAGCUGUCCCAGUGUUCACUAAUGAUGAUUCUUAUUUUAUUCGUUUUCUACUGAACUGGUAGAUCUGCUUUGCAAAGACUGUCUCGAACCUUUCAAACCCAUUGUGUCCCAUCAAAAAAUGAUCAAUAUAAUUGUGCCUCCUCUUUCUCAUUUUCUACUGUUCCACAAACGGCUGGGUUUCACUUUAGCUGGAGCAGUGUCACACACAAGCAGGUGGCCUUUUAGCUGCUGUUCUUCAAUGAACAAACAAGGUUUGACUCAGCAACUGCUCUUAACGACACUUUGAGGUUUGCAUCGUUCCACUUAAGUCUGCAUUAACCGCGGAGCUCCAAGAAACAAACCUGGAUGUCUCCAGUGAAAUAACAUUUACCCAGGGGUGUGGGCAGUGUUUAAAACGAGGCAGCCCCCCUGUAGGACUCUCACCACCACAGUUCCCUUCGUAUCACCCUAAGAUUGAAGGAAGGGGGCGCCGAUUGGUUAAAUUAGUUCAAACAGCUGAUAGGAGUCACCACUUGCCAGCCAUGGUGCUGAAUCUCAAGGAUGUACUUGAACUCCCUCGAUAGCUGCCUCCAAGUCCCUGUCGCUGGCAACAUCGCUUGGAAGCGCUGCAAUGUUACCAGUUACCCAGAGAAUUUCUUUGGACAGCAACCGCUUUAAGGCCGGCUCUCUAGCCGCUGAGGGGUCGGUGCCAAUAAGGCCUCGUCCUCUGUAAUGACGACCGCGUUUGAAUUUAACUGAAGUGGAUUGGCCAGUAAGGGUGCUUCGAUGUAGCUGUAAUAGGUUGAUUUAUAAUUCAGGAAGAGUAUGGAGAUCCGUGAGGGUCAUUAAGGCUGGUGGGCAGAGAUCUCUCAUUCCUGCUCUGAAGUGUGGGGGUCGGCACUCCUGCAUGGAACACAAAGACUCAACAAUUACCGAUUACAUUAAGAAAACCGCUAUAACCCCGUCUCCAACAAACCCAUUGUAUUCACACUGCAAUGAUUUACAUUUCCUUCCAAACUUGCCAAAUGCACGGAGUGAGAGAAAUUUAACUGUAGCGUUGUGUGGUUCUUGUAAGGUUAACUACAAAUUAAAUUUGUAAAAUCCAUACAACUCCCAAUGAGGACAAUUUCAAGAUAUCUCACCCAUUCUAAAAUAUAUAUAUAUAUA